rnacentral:rRNA from 1 species
UACGGAGGGUGCGAGCGUUGUCCGGAAUCAUUGGGCGUAAAGGGCGCGUAGGUGGCGGGACAAGCGUGCGGUGAAAGCUCGGGGCUCAACCCCGCGUCGGCCGUGCGAACUGUUUUGCUUGAGCACUGUAGAGGCAGGCGGAAUUCCGGGUGUAGCGGUGGAAUGCGCAGAUAUCAGGAGGAACACCGGUGGCGAAGGCGGCCCACUGGAUCGGUACUGACGCUGAGGUGCGAAAGCGUGGGGAGCAAACAGG